rnacentral:rRNA from 1 species
UACAGGGGGGGCAAGCGUUGUUCGGAAUUACUGGGCGUAAAGGGCGCGUAGGUGGCGCGGGAAGUCAACGGUGAAAGUUCGGGGCUCAACCCUGAAUCGGCCGUCGAUACUCCCGGGCUCGAGCACUGUAGAGGCAGAUGGAAUUCCGGGUGUAGCGGUGGAAUGCGUAGAGAUCCGGAAGAACACCGGUGGCGAAGGCGGUCUGCUGGGCAGUUGCUGACACUGAUGCGCGACAGCGUGGGGAGCAAACAGG